GAUGAACGCUAGCGGCAGGCUUAACACAUGCAAGUCGAGGGGUAUGCUUCUUCGGAAGUAGAGACCGGCGCACGGGUGCGUAACGCGUAUGCAAUCUACCUUUUGCAGAGGGAUAGCCCAGAGAAAUUUGGAUUAAUACCUCAUAGUAUAGUGCAAUCGCAUGAUUGAACUAUUAAAGUCACAACGGCAAAAGAUGAGCAUGCGUCCCAUUAGCUAGUUGGUAAGGUAACGGCUUACCAAGGCUACGAUGGGUAGGGGUCCUGAGAGGGAUAUCCCCCACCCGUGUACUGAGACACGGACCAGACUCCUACGGGAGGCAGCAGUGAGGAAUAUUGGACAAUGGGCGCAAGCCUGAUCCAGCCAGGCCGCGUGCAGGAUGACGGUCCUAUGGAUUGUAAACUGCUUUUGCACAGGAAGAAACAACAUUACGUGUAAUGUCUUGACGGUACUGUGAGAAUAAGGAUCGGCUAACUCCGUGCCAGCAGCCGCCGUAACAC
rnacentral:rRNA from 1 species